rnacentral:rRNA from 1 species
UACGAGGGGGGCAAGCGUUGUUCGGAAUUAUUGGGCGUAAAGGGUGCGUAGGCGGUUUGGCAAGUUCGGUGUGAAAUCUUCGGGCUCAACUCGAAGUCUGCACUGAAAACUGCCGGGCUGGAGUGUGGGAGAGGUGAGUGGAAUUUCCGGUGUAGCGGUGAAAUGCGUAGAUAUCGGAAGGAACACCUGUGGCGAAAGCGGCUCACUGGACCAUAACUGACGCUGAUGCACGAAAGCUAGGGGAGCAAACAGG